GGGGCGGCGGGGCCCGGGCCGGGGAGCGGGGCCGGGGGUGCCGGAGCCGCGCUGGGGGGCGUGGGGCUGCGCUGCCGGGGGGCGGCCGCGCUGUGCCGGGAGCGCCGGGCGCUGCCUUGGCGCAGGUGCCCGUAGCCCCGGUGCGGGCAGGGAGCGGCGCCUGCGGAGCCCCCGCGGCAGGGGGAGGGUUCGGCCGAGCACCGGCGGGUUACAGAAAAGUGGCGCCUGGUAGAAGCAAGAGUAUCACAGAAAGCUUUCUUCGGGGAAAGUACGGGUUCUGCUUUCAGGAUGGCUGCCAGGCAGAGAAUCAUUGAUUAAAGGGUUUUUUUGCUAUUACACGCUUUCUCAGAUGAGCUCGUUCGGAGAGUUCCUUCGGUGCUGGAGCUUCACAGUCAGUGAUUAACCCAGGUUUGGUGCAGGAUUUGUCCUAGUUUGGGCAGGUGCAGAAUGAGUCCCCUGAUACUGCUGAAAACACUGAGCAGAAACUUGAGGAGGAGGGGAGAUGAAAUAACAGUGAGUUCUCAAUGAAGCAAAAGCGUGGAGUUUUGUCCUUGUAGCAUGCCUUCCCUACUCAGAUUUUUUUGGAUAAGAUCCCCAAUUUUCAUCCAUUUGUCAUUUUCAUCGUUUGAUUCUCUCUGUUUUUCUCCUGUGUUGCACAACUGCAUGCAGCUGGCUGGGGAAAGCUGGCAGGCCUCAUGUGCAGAGAACAGCUCCCGUCCCUCCAGCUCAGCCAGCAGUACAGAUUUUCUGCUGCAGCGGGAAUGCUUGUCACUUCCUGGAGAAGAAAAUGGGGGCUGGGCUGAGGACGCUGCGUGCUGUUCCUCCCCUGGGGAUGCUGUUGGCUGCACCUGCCUUAGGCUGGUGGAGGUUGUUUCUGCCUGGCCUUGCUCCCCCCGCAGUGCGUGUGCAAGAGGGGACUGGGGGGCACGGCCUGGCUGUGGGCAGGAGCUGCUGCGGCAGGAGCUGGACAGGCCAGGGAAAGGCAAAGGAGAAGUUGUCCAAGGCCAUGUGGCUAGCAGCUGCCUCCUGCUGCAGGCACCAAAGAGCCUGCCCCUGCGGAUGGGGAAGGAUCCACCUCUGCAGCCCGCAGCAGGCCUGGCUGCCAGCGUGCACAGCAGGGUCUGUGCGUAACCCAAAGUGUAUUGCGGCCUCCGGGCAUACAAGGGAGCGAGGUUACGUGUCUAGGAGUCCUUGUCUUGUGAGGAAGAGCUGUGAGGCGAGACACCCACAGGUGACCUUAAAUGGAGGACAGACGAGCGACCGGGAGGAGAGAAGGAGAAAGAAGCAUCUAAAAUGUCACAUUUUCACAGUGGUACCAAAAGUGAGAGC